rnacentral:lncRNA from 1 species
AUGCCCCUCCCCAGGAGGGAGAGUUUAAUAUUUCUGCCACACCUCUCACACCCACUACCCCUCCCCAGGAGGGAGAGUUUAAUAUUUCUGCCACACCUCUCACACCCACUACAAAGGUGGCAGCCUGUCUUGGCAUACUGGUUGCAGAACUUCAACAUGCAGCCCAGGAAGAAUAAAUUUGCCCUAUAUAUUUGCAAAUAUAUUUUCAAAGGUCAGGGAUUACUGACUGAUCACUUUGAUCUUAAAGAAUAUCCAUGUGGCUCUUCCUGCAUUUUAGAGGAAGAGAGAACGGUAAAACUUCGAGUCUGGGUCAGCAGACAUAGUUACUAAGUACUUACCAUGAGUUGGUCACUGAGUCAAUCUGCGGAAUGCAGAGGUGGCUAAGACAGCUCCUCCUGCCCUCAACAAGCUCACUGAACGAUUUGCUACACAGAAUAACUCUGCAUCCUGCUAAGCCAUUCUGGGUCAGUAAACGGAACAGUAUUCCAAGUAGUUAAAUGCACUGGUCUCUAUUAUUAAUAUUGGCUUUUUGCACAUUGACGUUUUCUUCCAAAUCAGUCUGCCUGAUUCUGAGUUGCUCAAGAUCACCCCACUUGUGACAGCAUUUUUCACUGACCAUCAGAGGAUAUUUAUGCUUCAAAACUGGAUAUGGUUGUUUCAUUGGAAGUUAAAGAGAGAUCGAAGAUACAUCAACCCCUGGGAAUUCCCUGGUGGUCCAGUAGUUAGGACUUGGCACUUUCACUGCAGGGCCCAGGUUCAAUCCCUGAUCAAGGAACUAAGAUCCCACAAGCUGAACAACAUAACCAAAUUAGAGGGGGAAAGAAAAAAUAGAGUGCCCUGUUUUAUUUUUUCUUUCUUUAAAUUUAGGACUGAAUGCUCUGUGAAGGCUAGGAUGAUGUCUGUUUUGGUCACUGUUUCCUCCAUGCCUUGUUUAAAGAAGAUGCUCAUCAAAUAUUAAAUCAUCAAUUAAAGAAUGAGUGAGUGAUUUAGUGAAUGCAUCGAGACCAAGGUUAUUCCUUCUCUUUCAGACAGUAUUGUCAGAGUACAGGCUUUGAGAAAGACACAAAGAAGCCCAAGUCCAUGCCAGCAUCCCCCUAGGAAUAGACUACACAUGUCCGCUGGCUAAGGAGUUGUGGCAUUCUUCCCAUCUUUCUUACUAUUGAUAACAGUGAUCGGGUUUGUUCUGGGCAACAAAGCUCCUAGUUAAGACACAUAGUCACCUGGCCUCCCCUGCUGUGAAGACGGCCACAGGACACAGUUCUGGCCAGUAGUCUCCAAGUGAAGUGUUUUUUGGAGCUUCUAGAAAGACUUAACAGAGCCAAACUCAUCUGGCAUGUUUCUCUUUUCCUGUCCCUUAAUUCCCACUUGGGUUGCAGGCAUUAUAUUACUAGAGCUAUGACAGCCACCUUGCCACAAUGAGAGUGAAUUUCAUAGUUGAAGAUGGUGGAGUAGAAAGAGAAAAGUCUAGGCCCUUCAGGACAUUGCUGAACAACUGCCCAGCUUUGCUUUCACCUGGGCUUUUUACUUUGUUUUUAAGUCUUUAUUGAAUGUGUUACAAUAUUGCUUCUCUUUUGUAUUUUGGGUUUUUGGCCACAAGGCAUGUGGGAUCUUAGUUCCCCAACCAGGGGCUAAACCUGCGCCUCCUGCAUUGGAAGGCUAAAGUCUUAACCACUGGACCACCAGGGAAGUCCCUGAGCUGCUUGUUACAUGAGAACAAUAAGUCACUUUAUAUAACUGUAUUAAUAGUUGAGUAUUUUGUUACCUGUAGCCUAAUGCAAUAAUUAGGAACCUGAUUCAGGAACAGAAACGAAAGAUCCAAACAUUGUUCUUAACUGCUUUCUCAAUAAAAUCAAAGAAUAUUUUGUUGAUAACAGUGGAAUAGCUAUGGCUGCUUUUUCCUCCAUUUAAAAAAAUUAUUGAAGUAUGACUAAAGAUGGGGUAGAGUUUUGAGGAGAUAUCUAUUAAACAAAUCCUUUGGAAAAGUGAAGAAAAUCAAGCCGAUAAUUUUGAAGAUAGCAUAGUUGACAUUUGCAGCCUUUCUGGGAAAUCUGAACCAGUGCUCAUUAGGGUAAGGGCCUGCCAUUCAACUGAAAGCUUUUGGAGGUGAAGUAUCUUUUGCCCAGAACCUCUCAGCCUGAGGGCUCUUAUCAAGAGUGUUGUAAAUGAGGUCACUGGAGCCCCAGCUGGGGAGAGCUCAGAGACCCAUGAAAUGAUGAGAAAGCACCAGAGAAAUAAGGAUUGAGAGAAAUCAAACACCAACCACCCACAUAUAGGUGCUUUCACAGUUCCAUUCUUCGCAUGGAUGAUUAUGUCCUCAGACCUGCAUUUCUUACUAGUCUUCUCCUAUUCACGGAUUCUUAAUGGGAGGGCCAGAGUCCCCAAAAUCUAUCUCAGAAUUUGGACUUGAUGAGCUGCUUGAAGAUAAGAACUUGUUUUCCCUGCACAAUCAGCAUAAAACUUUAUGUCCUAGCGCAUAAUAGGAACUCUAAACAGACUUAACUGGUUAUUGGGAUUCAAUUUCUAAUAAUCUCUAAAUGCUUGUUUCAUGUGCAAACAUGUAAAAGGUUAAAGAAGUGAUUUUUUUAAAAAUAGGAAGUGAGAAGGCACAGCCUUUUAUAUGCUGAGCUUGCAAUUUAGUUUUGUGGUGAUAAUAAACAAUAUGGCUUCAAUUUUAAGGGUUUUUUGUGUUUUUUUUUUUAAAUUUUGGAUAGCUGCACAUCAAAACGGUCCAUGAAUGAUUGAUCUGUAGUGUUAUUCCAGGGAAUUUACAAUAAUGAAUGUUAAGGACAUACUCAAAAAAACAGUAAUAUCGGCAUAAGACCAAACAGAUCUAGCUGUCUGUGAAUAUUUCACAUGUAAUAAAUUUGAUGUUUCAAAUUGGUAGGAUUAUACUAACUUAUUUCAGCAAUUAGCUAAAUAUUUGAAAAAAGUUCAAUUCUGAUAGAUUAAAAAAAAUCAAAGAUUUUUUAAAAAGGAAACCAAAAGACAGCUGGAAAAUAUAGAUGAAGAUUUAUAUAUCUUUGAGCAAAAUACCAAAGGCAGAAACCACACAGGAAAAAGUUAGUGAUUUGACCACAUAAUUUUCAAUCUUCUAUAUACUGAAAUUAAUUUAUAGAUGAAAUGAGAUGAUGUUGAGGACUUGCUGCCAAAAAAAAGGAAACAAGAUGAUUAAUAAAGACUUGAUAAUUGUUGAAUCUGGGGCUUGAGUUGAUGAGUACAUGGGGAUUUCAUAUGCAAUACUCUCUACUCUUGUAUAUAGUAAAACUUUUCCAUAAUAAAAAAGUACAUUUUUUUUUAAUUUUUAGGAUUUUGAGAAACAAUCUAGGCCAAACUAUUUGCCAUCAAUUCAUUUAAAAAGAAAAAUACCCCAAUGGGGAAAACGGAUAAAAUAUAUGAACAAGCAUUUUAUAAAAAGGAGUACAAAUAACCAAUAAGUAUGUGAGAAAAAGUUUAGAUUCAGUUUUAAAAGCAAAUUUAAAAAAUUUAUUUUUAACUUUCUUGCACUGACCCAAAUUUUUUUUUUUUAAUGGAAUAAAAACCACUAGGGGUCUGUUGGACAUGAUUUAGAAAAGUAAGCACUCUCAGAACUUUCUGGUGGAAAUACUAAUUGGGACAACCUUCUGGAAAGAAACUUCACAAUAUAUAUUCAGAUCAGAUCAGUCACUCAGUCAUGUCCGACUCUUUGUGACCCCAUGAAUUGCAGCACGCCAGGCCUCCCUGUCCAUCACCAACUCCCGGAGUUCACCCAGACUCACGUCCAUCGAGUCAUUGAUGCCAUCCAGCCAUCUCAUCCUCUGUCGUCCCUUCUCCUCCUGCCCCCAAUCCUCCCAGCAUCAGAGUCUUUUCCAAUGAGUCAACUCUUCACAUGAGGUGGCCAAAGUACUGGAGUUUCAGCUUUAGCAUCAUUCCUUCCAAAGAAAUCCCAAGGCUGAUCUCCUCAGAAUGGACUGGUUGGAUCUCCUUGC